rnacentral:rRNA from 1 species
UGCGCAGGCGGGAUGUUAAGUCGGCGGUGAAAUUUUGCGGCUCAACCGUAAAAGUGCCUUCGAAACUGGCAUCCUUGAGUAUGGAUGAAGUAGGCGGAAUUCGUGGUGUAGCGGUGAAAUGCAUAGAUAUCACGAAGAACCCCGAUUGCGCAGGCAGCUUACUAAACCAUAACUGACGCUCAUGCACGAAGGCGUGGGGAUCAAACA